rnacentral:rRNA from 1 species
GACGAACGCUGGCGGCGUGCCUAACACAUGCAAGUCGAACGGACGAGGGGAGCUUGCUCCCUGAGUUAGUGGCGAACGGGUGAGUAACGCGUGAGAAACCUGCCUUUCAGUGGGGGACAACAGUUGGAAACGACUGCUAAUACCGCAUAAUGUACUUUGGGGGCAUCCCCGAGGUACCAAAGCUUAAUGUGCUGAAAGAUGGUCUCGCGUCUGAUUAGCUAGAUGGCGGGGUAACGGCCCACCAUGGCGACGAUCAGUAGCCGGUCUGAGAGGAUGAACGGCCACAUUGGGGCUGAGAUACGGCCCAG